rnacentral:tRNA from 1 species
GAGUGUAGCUCAGGGGUAGAGCGCAACCUUGCCAAGGUUGAUGUCGCGCGUUCGAAUCGCGUCAC